UGGGGAAUCUUGGACAAUGGGCGCAAGCCUGAUCCAGCCAUGCCGCGUGAGUGACGAAGGCCUUAGGGUUGUAAAGCUCUUUUGGCGGGGACGAUAAUGACGGUACCCGCAGAAUAAGCCCCGGCUAACUUCGUGCCAGCAGCCGCGGUAAUACGAAGGGGGCUAGCGUUGUUCGGAAUUACUGGGCGUAAAGCGCACGUAGGCGGAUUUGUCAGUCAGGGGUGAAAUCCCGAGGCUCAACCUCGGAACUGCCUCCGAUACAGCAAGUCUCGAGUCCGGAAGAGGUGAGUGGAAUUCCUAGUGUAGAGGUGAAAUUCGUAGAUAUUAGGAAGAACACCAGUGGCGAAGGCGGCUCACUGGUCCGGUACUGACGCUGAGGUGCGAAAGCGUGGGGAGCAAACAGGAUUAGAUACCCCGGUAGUCCCUGAGCGGGCUGGCAAGGCGCAU
rnacentral:rRNA from 1 species